GCGCACCAGUCGCGAAAACUCCGCAAUACGCGAAAGCGUGACGGGGCUACCCCGAGUGUCGUCGGCUGAGGACGACUUUUCCACGCUGUAAGGAGGCGUGGGAAUAAGGAGAGGGCAAGUCUGGUGUCAGCCGCCGCGGUAAUACCAGCUCUCCGAGUGGUAGGGACGAUUAUUGGGCUUAAAGCGUCCGUAGCCGGCUCAGCAAGUCUCCCGUUAAAUCCAACGAUUCAAUCGUUGGACUGCGGGAGAUACUGUUGAGCUAGGAGGCGGGAGAGGCCGACGGUAAUCCCGGAGUAGGGGUGAAAUCCUAGAAUCCCGGGAAGACCACCAGUGGCGAAGGCUGUUGGCUAGAACUCGCCCGACGGUGAGGGAUGAAAGCUGGGGGAGCGAACCGGAUUAGAUACCCUGGAGUCC
rnacentral:rRNA from 1 species